CUCCAGCUCCGGAGGCUCGCUCCCUGGUGUCCCGGGCCCAGGGCUGCAAGCCCAGUUAGGAGCUAUGACCUUGGGGCAAAUAGGGAUACAGUCCUUGAGGCGCUGGGGAGCGUGCAGCUUCGGGUGCAGAGAACCACGCGCCCCCUACUGGCUGUUCGUGGAAUAUUAGCGAGAAAGAGGCACGAGUCUGCGGCGAAAGUCCGCUGAGAGGCCAGCACCCGAGACUGCAUUUCGAUGCAAGCUGUGAGGAUACAUCAAGAGAGAAACAUUGUUUUAGACAUUGAAUAAGCCAUUAGAAUUCUUCUUCGUUGAAGUGAAAUUAACUUACGGAAGAAGAUAAUAGUCAACCCCUAAUGUGAUGGAGACUGAAGCACAGAAAUGAACAUGCCUGAAGUGACAUAAACAGCAAGCGUUGUAUAACUUGAACCCAAGCCUCCUGAGGACAGAACAGGACUGUAAAAUGUUCAUUUCUUAUUUAUUUAAGUUUUAGUUCAAUAACUACUGUCCUUUCAUUGACUAGGUCUCCCAUUAGGCUAUUAAAAUUCACACACACAAAACACACACACACACACGA